CUUAAAUAAAUCUUAACUAAGUUUUAAUUUAAUCCUAGUUGAAACCAUGAUACUCGUCAUUCAAAUCCUAGAUAAAUCUUGAACCUUAAACCAAACUUUGACAAAAUCUAAAAUCCUAAAUCAAAUCCUAACCAAAUUCUAAAUCCUAAAUCAAAUCCUAGACAAACCUUGACAAAAUCCUAAACCCUAAACCAAAUCCUAACCAAAUUCUAACCAAAUCCUAAAACCUAAUCAAAUCCUAAACCCUAAACUAAAUCCUAAGUUAGUUUAGAACCUCGAUAUCUUUUAAUUAAAUCAUUGAUCUUAUCUAAAGUUUUAUACACCUCCAAAUCUCUUAGUAACAACUAAGUAUAACAAAUUUGAGGACAAUUGUACUUACCAAAUAGAAGAAAAAUCCUAAAAUCUACUCAGAUAUUGGUUGGCCUCCUUCUCUAAUCUUGAUGUUGAUCUUCUA
rnacentral:lncRNA from 1 species